UACGGAGGGUGCGAGCGUUGUCCGGAAUCACUGGGCGUAAAGGGCGCGUAGGCGGCGCGGGGAGUCAACGGUGAAAGCUCGGCGCUCAACGCCGAGUCGGCCGUCGAUACUCCCCGUGCUCGAGCACUGUAGAGGCAGGUGGAAUUCCGGGUGUACGGCGGUGGAAUGCGUAGAGGAUCCGGAAGAACACCGGAUGGCGCAAGGUCGGGCCUGAGCUGGGCCUG
rnacentral:rRNA from 1 species